UACGAAGGGGGCUAGCGUUGUUCGGAAUCACUGGGCGUAAAGGGCGCGUAGGCGGCUUUAUAAGUCGGGGGUGAAAGCCUGUGGCUCAAACACAGAAUUGCCUUCGAUACUGUAGAGCUUGAGACCGGAAGAGGUAAGUGGAACUGCGAGUGUAGAGGUGAAAUUCGUAGAUAUUCGCAAGAACACCAGUGGCGAAGGCGGCUUACUGGUCCGGUUCUGACGCUGAUGUGCGAAAGCGUGGGGAGCAAACAGG
rnacentral:rRNA from 1 species